rnacentral:lncRNA from 1 species
AUGUUUAUGUUUAUAUAUAGAUUUGGUAAAGAAGAUUGUGAAUUAGUUAGGCAAGCAGAACACUUCGCGACCGAACACUUGGUACAAUUAUGGCUCGUAUCAUCGCUUACAGGGAAAAAUGUUAAGAAGUUAUUCUUACAUAUGGUUAACAUGGUUUUCAAUAACACGAAUUUGUGGAAAUACGAUAUGGAAGAUGUAAUAUAUACAUAUACAUGUAUUUACGUUUACACAUAUAUAUAUAUUUACAUGUACAUAUAUGAAUGAAUAAACAUUUCCUCCCCCCCAUUCUUUUCUUUUUUCAGUCUGGAUCCGAAUCUUCAGAAAAUUAAAAUUAAAAAAAAAUAAAAUAAAAUAAAAACCUAAGCA